rnacentral:rRNA from 1 species
AACGAACGCUGGCGGCAUGCCUAACACAUGCAAGUCGAACGAGACCUUCGGGUCUAGUGGCGCACGGGUGCGUAACGCGUGGGAACCUGCCCUUAGGUUCGGAAUAACUCACCGAAAGGGGUGCUAAUACCGGAUAAUGUCUUCGGACCAAAGAUUUAUCGCCUUUGGAUGGGCCCGCGUUGGAUUAGCUAGUUGGUAGGGUAAAAGCCUACCAAGGCGACGAUCCAUAGCUGGUCUGAGAGGAUGAUCAGCCACACUGGGACUGAGACACGGCCCAGACUCCUACGGGACGCAGCAGUGGGGAAUAUUGGACAAUGGGCGAAAGCCUGAUCCAGCAAUGCCGCGUGAGUGAUGAAGGCCUUAGGGUUGUAAAGCUCUUUUACCCGGGAUGAUAAUGACAGUACCGGGAGAAUAAGCUCCGGCUAACUCCGUG